UCUGGGUUGAUCCUGCCAGUAGUUAUAUGCUUGUCUCAAAGAUUAAGCCAUGCAUGUCUAAGUACACACGAAUUAAAAGUGAAACCGCAAAAGGCUCAUUAUAUCAGUUAUGGUUCCUUAGAUCGUUAACAGUUACUUGGAUAACUGUGGUAAUUCUAGAGCUAAUACAUGCAAUUAAAACAUGAACCUUAUGGGACAUGUGCUUUUAUUAGGCUAAAACCAAGCGAUCGCAAGAUCGUUAUAUUGGUUGAACUCUAGAUAACAUGCAGAUCGUAUGGUCUUGUACCGACGACAGAUCUUUCAAAUGUCUGCCCUAUCAACUUUUGAUGGUAGUAUCUAGGACUACCAUGGUUGCAACGGGUAACGGGGAAUCAGGGUUCGAUUCCGGAGAGGGAGCCUGAGAAACGGCUACCACAUCUAAGGAAGGCAGCAGGCGCGUAAAUUACCCACUCCCAGCUCGGGGAGGUAGUGACGAAAAAUAACAAUACAGGACUCAUAUCCGAGGCCCUGUAAUUGGAAUGAGUACACUUUAAAUCCUUUAACAAGGACCAAUUGGAGGGCAAGUCUGGUGCCAGCAGCCGCGGUAAUUCCAGCUCCAAUAGCGUAUAUUAAAGUUGUUGCGGUUAAAACGUUCGUAGUUGAACUUGUGCUUCAUACGGGUAGUACAACUUACAAUUGUGGUUAGUACUAUACCUUUAUGUAUGUAAGCGUAUUACCGGUGGAGUUCUUAUAUGUGAUUAAAUACUUGUAUUUUUUCAUAUGUUCCUCCUAUUUAAAAACCUGCAUUAGUGCUCUUAAACGAGUGUUAUUGUGGGCCGGUACUAUUACUUUGAACAAAUUAGAGUGCUUAAAGCAGGCUUCAAAUGCCUGAAUAUUCUGUGCAUGGGAUAAUGAAAUAAGACCUCUGUUCUGCUUUCAUUGGUUUUCAGAUCAAGAGGUAAUGAUUAAUAGAAGCAGUUUGGGGGCAUUAGUAUUACGACGCGAGAGGUGAAAUUCUUGGACCGUCGUAAGACUAACUUAAGCGAAAGCAUUUGCCAAAGAUGUUUUCAUUAAUCAAGAACGAAAGUUAGAGGUUCGAAGGCGAUCAGAUACCGCCCUAGUUCUAACCAUAAACGAUGCCAGCUAGCAAUUGGGUGUAGCUACUUUUAUGGCUCUCUCAGUCGCUUCCCGGGAAACCAAAGCUUUUGGGCUCCGGGGGAAGUAUGGUUGCAAAGCUGAAACUUAAAGGAAUUGACGGAAGGGCACCACCAGGAGUGGAGCCUGCGGCUUAAUUUGACUCAACACGGGAAAACUUACCAGGUCCGA
rnacentral:rRNA from 1 species